CCGCAACGUAUGCGGAAUUCAUGGUGUAGCGGUGAAAUGCUUAGAUAUCAUGACGAACUCCGAUUGCGAAGGCAGCGUACGGAGUGUUACUGACGCUUAAGCUCGAAGGUGCGGGUAUCGAACAGGAUUAGAUACCCUGGUAGUCCGCACGGUAAACGAUGGAUGCCCGCUGUUAGCGCCUGGCGUUAGCGGCUAAGCGAAAGCAUUAAGCAUCCCACCUGGGGAGUACGCCGGCAACGGUGAAACUCAAAGGAAUUGACGGGGGGCCGCACAAGCGGAGGAACAUGUGGUUUAAUUCGAUGAUACGCGAGGAACCUUACCCCGGGCUUGAAUUGCAGACGCAGGAUACAGAGAUGUUGACUCCCUUCGGGGCGUCUGUGAAGGUGCUGCAUGGUUGUCGUCAGCUCGUGCCGUGAGGUGUCGGCUUAAGUGCCAUAACGAGCGCAACCCCUUUCCUUAGUUGCCAUCAGGUGAUGCUGGGCACUCUGGGGAUACUGCCACCGCAAGGUGUGAGGAAGGUGGGGAUGACGUCAAAUCAGCACGGCCCUUACGUCCGGGGCUACACACGUGUUACAAUGGCCGGUACAGAGGGACGGUGCGAUGCAAAUCGCAUCCAAUCUUGAAAGCCGGUCCCAGUUCGGACUGAGGUCUGCAACCCGACCUCACGAAGCUGGAUUCGCUAGUAAUCGCGCAUCAGCCAUGGCGCGGUGAAUACGUUCCCGGGCCUUGUACACACCGCCCGUCAAGCCAUGAAAGCCGGGGGUGCCUGAAGUUCGUAACCCGCGAGGAGCGAC
rnacentral:rRNA from 1 species